CUACUGGGGUAUCUAAUCCUGUUUGCUCCCCACGCUUUCGUGCCUCAGCGUCAGUAUCGGGCCAGUGAGCCGCCUUCGCCACUGGUGUUCUUGCGAAUAUCUACGAAUUUCACCUCUACACUCGCAGUUCCACUCACCUCUCCCGAACUCAAGAUCUUCAGUAUCAAAGGCAGUUCUGGAGUUGAGCUCCAGGAUUUCACCCCUGACUUAAAGACCCGCCUACGCACCCUUUACGCCCAGUGAUUCCGAGCAACGCUAGCCCCCUUCGUAUUACCGCGGCUGCUGGCAC
rnacentral:rRNA from 1 species